UGCAAGUCGAGGGGUAUAGUAGCAAUACUAGAGACCGGCGCACGGGUGCGUAACGCGUAUGCAAUCUACCUUUUGCAGAGGGAUAGCCCAGAGAAAUUUGGAUUAAUACCUCAUAGUAUAACGACUCGGCAUCGAGAUGUUAUUAAAGUCACAACGGCAAAAGAUGAGCAUGCGUCCCAUUAGUUAGUUGGUAAGGUAACGGCUUACCAAGACUACGAUGGGUAGGGGUCCUGAGAGGGAGAUCCCCCACACUGGUACUGAGACACGGACCAGACUCCUACGGGAGGCAGCAGUGAGGAAUAUUGGACAAUGGGCGCAAGCCUGAUCCAGCCAUGCCGCGUGCAGGAUGACGGUCCUAUGGAUUGUAAACUGCUUUUGCACAGGAAGAAACAACGCUACGUGUAGCGUCUUGACGGUACUGUGAGAAUAAGGAUCGGCUAACUCCGUGCCAGCAGCCGCGGUAAUACGGAGGAUCCAAGCGUUAUCCGGAAUCAUUGGGUUUAAAGGGUCCGUAGGCGGUCUUAUAAGUCAGUGGUGAAAUCUCCCCGCUCAACGGGGAAACGGCCAUUGAUACUGUAGGACUUGAAUUAUUAGGAAGUAACUAGAAUAUGUAGUGUAGCGGUGAAAUGCUUAGAGAUUACAUGGAAUACCAAUUGCGAAGGCAGGUUACUACUAAUGGAUUGACGCUGAUGGACGAAAGCGUGGGUAGCGAACAGGAUUAGAUACCCUGGUAGUCCACGCCGUAAACGAUGGAUACUAGCUGUUGGAAGCAAUUUCAGUGGCUAAGCGAAAGUGAUAAGUAUCCCACCUGGGGA
rnacentral:rRNA from 1 species